UACAGAGGUCUCGAGCGUUAGGCGGAAUCACUGGGCUUAAAGCGUGUGUAGGCGGGUCGUUAAGUACCUUGUGAGAUCCCAUGGCUCAACCAUGGAACUGCUGGGUAUACUGGCGAUCUUGUGCAACCUAGGGGCGAGCGGAACAGAUGGUGGAGCGGUGAAAUGCGUAGAUAUCAUCUGGAACGCCAAUGGUGAAAACAGCUCGCUGGGGGUUUGCAGACGCUGAGACACGAAAGCCAGGGGAGCGAACGGG
rnacentral:rRNA from 1 species